AAGGGUUCUGUCUCAUAUAGGAAGACCCGCUGAACUGAA
rnacentral:rRNA from 1 species